GAUGAACGCUGGCGGCGUGCCUAAUACAUGCAAGUCGAGCGAACGGACGAGAAGCUUGCUUCUCUGAUGUUAGCGGCGGACGGGUGAGUAACACGUGGAUAACCUACCUAUAAGACUGGGAUAACUUCGGGAAACCGUAGCUAAUACCGGAUAAUAUUUUGAACCGCAUGGUUCAAAAGUGAAAGACGGUCUUGCUGUCACUUAUAGAUGGAUCCGCGCUGCAUUAGCUAGUUGGUAAGGUAACGGCUUACCAAGGCAACGAUGCAUAGCCGACCUGAGAGGGGGAUCGGCCACACUGGAACUGAGACACGGACAAGACUACUACGGGAGGCAGCAGUAGGGAAUAUUCCGCAAUGGGCGAAAGCCUGACGGAGCAACGCCGCGUGAGUGAUGAAGGUCUUCGGAUCGUAAAACUCUGUUAUUAGGGAAGAAAAUAUGUGUAAGUAACUGUGCACAGAUUGACGGUACCUAAUCAGAAAGUAACGGCUAACUACGUG
rnacentral:rRNA from 1 species